AGGUAAAAUGAGUGAGAAUCUGAGAAUGUACUUGUAUGAUAAUACUAUGAAUGACGACGAUAGAGAUCCAUUGCAAAGAAUUAUGUUUAAUUUUCCUGAUACUGAAGAAAUUGAUCAGGGAGUAGCAAAUCAGAAGAAAGAAUCAAAUUAAAGCUGAAAGAGAUUGUUCGGAGAUUAAAUCCAGACCUUAGUUUAAUACAUUCUAUGGAUAUAGAGAAAAUAAAAGAUUUUCUUUUAUAGUUUAAAUAUAUCGAUAAUUGAUAUUAA